UGCUAUUGUAAUUCAUCCUUGUGAGCCAGGAGUAACUGAAUGGAUCAAUGUCUACAACCUAAAAUGGUGCGUCUUGUAGUGACGGACCAGUUCCUGAUCUUUGUUGGAUGGGACAGGGUCACCACUCCCUUGUAUAUCAGGAUUUGUGUAUUUUAAUGGGAUUAAUGGAUAUAAUACCGUGCGUCUUGUAGUGACGAACCAGUUCCUGAUCUUUGUUGGACGGGACUGGGUCACCACUCCCUUGUAUAUCAGGAUUUGUGUAUUUUAAAGUCAUUUAUUGAUAUUU